CCUACGGGAGGCAGCAGUGAGGAAUAUUGGUCAAUGGCCGGAAGGCUGAACCAGCCAUGCCGCGUGAAGGGCAGGGACCUAGGGGCGUUAAACUUCUUUUGUGCGGGAGCAAGAAUGGUCACGUGUGGCCAGACGAGAGUACCGUACGAAGAAGCAGCGGCUAACUCCGUGCCAGCAGCCGCGGUAAGACGGGGGAUGCAAGCGUUAUCCGGAUUUAGUGGGUUUAAAGGGUGCGUAGGCGGUCGGAUAAGUUAGAGGUGAAAUCCCGAGGCUCAACUUCGGAAUUGCCUCUGAUACUGUUCGGCUAGAGCGUAGUUGCGGUAGGCGGAAUGUCUGGUGUAGCGGUGACAUGCUUAGAGAUCAUACAGAACACCGAUUGCGAAGGCAGCUUACCAAGCUACUUCUGACGUUGAGGCACGACAGCGUGGGGAGCAAACAGGAUUAGAUACCCCUGUAGUA
rnacentral:rRNA from 1 species